rnacentral:lncRNA from 1 species
AUAAGCUCAAAAGAUGAAGGGUUAUUUUCCCUCUGAUGGGUCAGCUCCUCAAACACUCUUGUUCUCUGUCCCUCCUCCUCAGCCUCUUUCCUCCCUUCCUUUUAAGACAUGGUUGCUUCCACUUUCUGAAUUUGAUACAAAAGUUGAUAAUCAUGUUUGUCUCAGUUUCAGUGUCGGUUACCUUUGCCUGAACUGUGGGAUCAUACUUGUUCAACAAUCUCCUAAUUGUUACCUGAGUUUCAACCUUGGUCUAGGCCAGCCCUUUCUAAGCCUGGUGUCCCUGCUUGUAAAACAAGAAAGAAAGAAAGAAAGAAAGAAAGAAAGAAAG